GUGAAUCAUCGAAUCUUUGAACGCAAAUUGCACUCUCUUCUGAGAGUAUGCCUGUUUGAGGGUCAGUAUUAAUAAAAAUCGGAGUGUUGCGUCUUUGUGACGCUCCGGAGUUUGGGUCAUCUUAAGAUCCUUGAGGUUUUAAGCGGCUGAAGAUUGACUUUUUUUAUGCAUUGUAGAGGUACAUAAAUU
rnacentral:misc_RNA from 1 species